rnacentral:rRNA from 1 species
CCUACGGGAGGCAGCAGUGGGGAAUAUUGGACAAUGGGCGAAAGCCUGAUCCAGCCAUGCCGCGUGUGUGAAGAAGGUCUUCGGAUUGUAAAGCACUUUAAGUUGGGAGGAAGGGCAUUAACCUAAUACGUUAGUGUUUUGACGUUACCGACAGAAUAAGCACGGCAUCC